rnacentral:ribozyme from 13 species
UAUUCUGCUAGUGUGUACGGAGCCGCACGACUAUAAGAAAGAAAUCUAAAUGAAAAUGGAAGAAUGGAAUGAUUAAUAAUUAAAUUGUGGGACUUGUGUGG